UUCCCCCUCACGUUUCUUCAAUUUCUCCAUGGAAGGUUGAUGUGAAGCUUUCAUAACUUUCUCUCUCUAGCUCUAAUUUUCAUACCCUAGUGCCUUUUUGACUAAAACCCUUGUAUUAUUCCACUCUCUCACUUUAAAACUCUUGAAAAUGAUGAAAAUCUUGUUUCCAUACUCUCUCACUAGUUAGGUGUUUUAGAGAGAGAAAGAGGAAGCUUUAUUAAUAGCUUGAGAGCUUUUGGAAAGAAGUUCAAAGUUACAAAGCUAUCAAGGUGAGUAGUAAACUAGUAUUGGGUUUUAAGUGUUGAGAAUGACUAGAGAUUUGAUUUGUGAAUAUUUUGUAGUUGAGAUUGGUAAUUCACUUUGGAGUGAUAGGAAUGUGAAAAUGGAUGGCCAUUUAAAUGGCAAUUGAAAGCUAGCUAAAAGAUAGCUUUUAGGGUUUAUAGUAUGUAAAUUGACAUUAUGGAAAUGUUAAUUUGAUGGUAGGUGCUAACGAAGCCCCAUCGCCCCAAUUGGAUCAUUAGGGGAAUUAAGAGUCAGCUAAAG
rnacentral:lncRNA from 1 species